GCGCGCAGGGCGGCGCACCGCAGCAGCUUCCGCCGCGGCUGGCGCGGAUCGGGGUCACGUGACACGGCGCACGACGAGAGCUGGGGGCGGCGGCGCGAGUACAGCUACGGAGACGGCGGAGCCGUGGGCGGAGGCGGCAGCAGCGCCGACCUGGUGGCCGGGGGCGGAGUUCUCCUCUGGCAGCCAUGGGGCCUGUGGCAACCUGGAAUGCUGUAUUUAUGAUCUGACGUCCCCGCUUGAUCUUCAAAUGCGACAGCUGUAAAUAGAUGCGUGACGUUCCAGUAAUCAUCUUAAAGAAAAGCGAGUGUAAAUUCCUUAUCACGGACAGAACUGUGUCGUACAAUGACAGAAUAACGACCUUUCCUGAGUGACUCUCCUGCUGGUUAUAUGGUCAAGUUAUCCAAGUUCUUAACUGUAGAAUUGAAGUAUUGAAAUGCAAGUACACAAUAUUCCAGUGUGAGAUAUUAUAAUCCAUCAAAUCAUGACCUCGAUAAGGAAGAACUCUGUUUUCUUUACUGUUAGACUAGAGUAUUUAAGUAUGUGAUCUGCUUAAGUUUUCCAUAGGACAAAAUAAUGUACGCUUGUAUUAUUAUAAAAUUAAAUAUUUGAUUUUUAUUUAUU